rnacentral:rRNA from 1 species
GACGAACGCUGGCGGCGUGCUUAACACAUGCAAGUCGAACGGAAAGGCCCUGCUGUUGUGGGGUGCUCGAGUGGCGAACGGGUGAGUAACACGUGAGUAACCUGCCCUUGACUUUGGGAUAACUUCAGGAAACUGGGGCUAAUACCGGAUAGGAGCUCCUGCUGCAUGGUGGGGGUUGGAAAGUUUCGGCGGUUGGGGAUGGACUCGCGGCUUAUCAGCUUGUUGGUGGGGUAGUGGCUUACCAAGGCUUUGACGGGUAGCCGGCCUGAGAGGGUGACCGGCCACAGUGGGACUGAGAUACGGCCCAGAGUCCUACGGGAGGCAGCAGUGGGGAAUAUUGCACGAUGGGCGGAAGCCUGAUGCAGCAACGCCGCGUGCGGGAUGACGGCCUUCGGGUGGUAAACCGCUUUCGCCUGUGACGAAGCGUGAGUGACGGUAAUAGGUAAAGAAGCACCGGCUAACUACGUG